UUUGUGUGAAACGGACCGACUGAAUGGAGCAGCCAGUAGUUUUUACUUUCGGCACCACAGUACGUUCAGACUGUACAAACUGAAUAUAUGUACAUAAUGUAAAUGAUGAGUAUCAGUUUUCAGAUCCCACUGUGUUGUUUGGCCACAUAUGUGCAGUGAGGAGAAGACCAAACGUACCACCAGAAACACCUCUGAGAAACGCUGUCCAAUCUGUGACGAGGACACAACACUGUCUUAUAAUUAAUCACAGUUUCUGAUGAUUUCAUUUUGUUUUUGUUGCAUGAUGUGCAUUCAUGCACGGUAACUUAAUCGAGUUAAUUCUGUCUCAGGGACUCUUUUACAGCCUGGUAGUGCAACAGCUGUGGUGUUAAUUCUCACCCGGAUAAAAAGGUUUUCUGAGGAAACU